rnacentral:rRNA from 1 species
GGUGAACGCUGGCGGUAGGCCUAACACAUGCAAGUCGAACGGCAGCACAGUAAGAGCUUGCUCUUACGGGUGGCGAGUGGCGGACGGGUGAGGAAUACAUCGGCAUCUACUUUUUCGUGGGGGAUAACGUAGGGAAACUUACGCUAAUACCUCAUACGACCUACGGGUGAAAGCAGGGGAUCUUCGGACCUUGCGCGAUUGAAUGAGCCGAUGUCGGAUUAGCUAGUUGGCGGGGUAAAGGCCCACCAAGGCGACGAUCCGUAGCUGGUCUGAGAGGAUGAUCGGCCACACUGGAACUGAGACACGGUCCAGACUCCUACGGGAGGCAGCAGUGGGGAAUAUUGGGCAAUGGGCGAAAGCCUGAUCCAGCAAUACCGCGUGAGUGAAGAAGGCCUUCGGGUUGUAAAGCCCUUUUGUUGGGAAAGAAAAGAAGCAGGUGAAAACACCGAUGUUCUGACGGUACCCAAAGAAUAAGCACCGGCUAACUUCGUG